GGGAUAAAAUAGUAAUUUUCCCAUCGUAAAAUAUUUGAUCCAACAUGCCUAUCUUUAUUUUCAUUUAGCAGCUGAUACACAUAUAUGAUCCAACAACAAUCUGUUUUCCUCAUAGAUUAUCCAAGCUCCUCUAUAAUAGGAAAUGUGCUGCCCAAUUGUAUCUUCCAAAACAUAAUGGUUACAAAUACCCUUCAUCAUUUUCAGCUAAUAAUCCAGGGAAAUCUUAAUUCUUUCAAUAUCUCAUCAGCCCAGCUCCCUUCUGCAACUCCAACUGUCAAUAACUUGAGAUAUGUUAGGCAAUGAGAUCAUGAAGUAAGAGUCUCCCAACCUGUUAUAGUCCUUGGGAUGGAAUCAUCAAUUCCAGCAAGAGAAACACCAAGUAUCUGGUUUUCACCAACUCUACUAAGAGGGAAAAAUGAGUGAAAUGUAAGAAACCCAGGACCCAGGACCCAGUACUAAGAGGGUAUCCUUUCAACACCAUAACUUGAGAAUGUAUGCAUUCCAAAUGCAACAUAAGUGAUUCCCAUUUAUGAUAAACUCUACACCAUAACGCAAGGACCAUAAUAACAAUGGAGAUCACCUAGUCAGAUCACCAACCUAGCAUUAUGCAUGUGCUCUACUUAGUUACUAAGUACAUAUUUGUACCCUUGGCAUUCAUAUCAGAUUCUAGAACACUACAUAAUUGUGCAACCACCUCAUCAUGCAAAGAGUUUGCACUACGUAAAUUAGAACAUAUACAAACUUUGGUAACCUAUAACAUGAAUGUUUGAGGCUGCUUUUGGAGCUGCAUUAGAUGAAAACACCCUUCUAAUAGCAUGCUUGAGCCCAAAAUUGCUUCAAGGGCGCUUCACUGUUAAGUCACUUUUGGCCAAACUAUCAAAGGGAAUUUUUUUUGCCAAGAGUAGCUGCUAUAACAAUUAGAAAGAUACCUAUAAUACACAGGAUCAAAAAAUCCAAUCUGAUCAUAUACAUUUAUGGUCAGAUCAGAUAAUAUUCGAGUUGCCUAGCCUGUCAAAAUUGCUCUAAUCAGAACAUUAAAAAAUAUUCAAAUUAUAAAAAACAAAGAUGUCUCAGUAACCCAAACUGAAAAUUGAGAUGCAAAUAUGUUGUGCGCUAAUCCUACGAGCUCCAAGUGCUGAGUUAUCAUAGGAAACAAUAAACAUAAAAUUUGUUAUUACCUGGAAGUCUUUUAGUUUCAAAUUCACAUAUCCUUUGUCUAGUGAGAUUUUAGGGCUUUGGACAUCAUCUGCUGCCUGGACAAGAUCUCAGCAAUGAGCUGGCGACCAAAUAAGUGUGAGUUCUUAAGAAUCAGGUUUCUUGUUGACGAAUCAACAGCAUAACCUUGGCCUGGCAUCCAUUUCAGCAAUUGAAGAAGCAAGUCCUUCUUUUCAGGAUUUUCAAUAUAACGUGAUAUAGCCAUCUGAAAUAGUUCCUGAUCAAUCUUGUAUCCAGAACCAUGAAUAACCUUCAUAACAUCAUUUAUCAUAUUGAUAUUACCGAGCUUCAUAAAUGCAUUUGCAAACUUCUUUAUAGCAGCUUGCGAAAUCAAUUCAGUAUUGUCCUUAACUACUACAUAAGCAUCUUUGAGAAGCUGUCCAGAUAAGAGAAUGUGCAGAAUCUUCUCAUGAAGGGCUUUGCACAUGGUUCUUUUACCAUAUUUCAACAUAGUAUAAACAGAAAAGGCCUCUGGAUGGGCUUUGGUUUUACCAAGAUAGAAGAUCAAGGACGAACAAAGUUCCUCCUGUGGCUGGUGCCCUUUCCUAUGCAUGUCUUCCAUUGUCCGGUAAGCAAGGAGAUACAGCUUUUGCUUGCAGAAAUAUUUUAUGAGGAUAUGGAAAGUAGUAUAACUAGGACUGAUUCUUAAUUCAUCCAUUUUCAUCAUUGUUUGCAUCACACUUUCCAUGUCAUCAGCUCUGCAGUAGGCACAGAGCAAUGUGUUUAACAUAACCAAGUCAUAUUUGUCAUAUUGGGCCUCAAAAUCCUUGGCCAACUGCUUCGCCUCUUCAAAAAACCCCCCUCGAUAAUAUGCUGAAAUCAUGAUACUGUGAGAAUAGCCAUCAGAUUUAACACCUUUUUCCUUCAUUUCAUCAAAAAUUGAUCUUGCUUCAUUUAUAUUCCCAGCCUUGGCAAGACCAUCCAUCAACAAACAGUAGGGCAUCUCAUCUUCUGCAUAGCCCAAAGCUUCUAGUUCAAGUAAAAGCUCUCUGGAUUUUUCAAACAAUCCUCCUCUAACAUACACUUUUAACAAAGUUGUCCGUAUUACCUUAUUUGGUACUAACCCCAAAGAUUUCAUGUCUUGCACCAAUUCCUCAGCCUUCCUGUAGUUUCCAACAGCAGAGUAAGCAUUGAGUAAAGAACUAUAAUGAAAUAUAUUAGGCGAAUGACCUUCAUCCUUCAUCUGGUUAAAAUAGCUCUCUGCUUCUUCACAUUGAUUAUUUGAAGCACAAACCGCCAAAAGUGUCCCAUACAUCACGCUGUCCAUCUGCAGGCCAUUAUACUUCAGUUCUUGAACCAAGUCUAAUGCCUUAGAAUACCCAUGUUUGACUUUAAUGCAACCUGCAAGCAGCGUACUAUAUGUAAUAACAUCUGGUGUUAGACCAUUCUGCUUCAUCUUAUGAAAUAAUUUAGUGCUAAUAUCAAACUUGCCACUCCUGACCAAGCAACUGAGAACAGAAUUACAUAUAAAGACAUUACUUUUUAUUGCUUCAUCUGGAAUGUUACUGUAGAUUUCCAGUGCCCUCAUGGGGUUGAGGCUCUUUCCCAUAAACUUUAUGCAACUGCUAAAGGAAGCAACACUGAUUUUAUCAUUUUGUUGCAUCCAAUCAAAGAGCUGCGAAAGAUCAUUCCAUCUACUUUGCUUCCCAAAAUUCCGCAAAAUGACAUUCAAGUCUUGCACCUUCAAUGUCCCUUCUAAUCUUUGAAGAGCAGAGUCCAAAUCAGAAGAUUGCUGAACUUCAAGAAUGGCAGCUUGUCUGGCCAAGUAGGACUUCGAGUGACGCCUUUGACCACUUGGCGGCGGUGGUUGCGAUUCAUUCCGGGGUUCUUUGAGAAGUGGUGUUGCUGUAACUGCGGAGGUGCGUUGAGAAUUCUUUCUUCUUGUAGUAGUGGUGGGAGCGGAUGCAGAAGGAAUUAAGGGAAAAUAAGACUGUGCUGGGCAAGUGAGGGCAUAGUUAAACCCAGUGCCUAUCGCAGAUAACUCCAUUUCUGGUCUCUGUAGUUCAGAGACAGAGCUCCAAGAGAAACAAUUU
rnacentral:misc_RNA from 1 species